rnacentral:rRNA from 1 species
AUGCUCAAUGCCGAACUACCCCUGUUACAUGUUAGCAGGAUGGUUAGACCCGCUGGACGUGGCCGUGGUGCCAACGAUCCACCACCGCCUGAAUUCUUUACUGGAAUGAUGCAACAGUUUGAGUUGACUCGCCAGUUCAUGGAAGGAAUGAUGGCUCAAUUUCCUCGUCCGAACAUGAAUCAACAUCCAACCCGAGUAACUCUGCAGGACUUCAUGCGCCUCAACCCAUCUAUCUACCGCAGCUCAACUCAACCCCUUGAUGCUGAUGACUGGCUCCGCGACAUCACAUAUGAAAUGGAGUCUGCUAGUGUUGCCCCUGCCAGCUAUGUCACCUUCGCAUCUUUCUUUCUGAAGGGUCCUGCUGCUCAAUGGUGGGACAGCCACAGGCGUACCCUACCUGCUGGAACGGUCAUUACUUGGCCGGAUUUCCAAGCUGCCUUCCGUGCCCGUUUCAUUCCUCAGGGAACCAUGGACAGGAAGAAGCGAGAGUUCCGCAACCUCACCCAAGGCAAUAAGACUGUAGAUGCUUAUCAACGGGAAUUUCUGGACUUGUCACGAUAUGCUGAAGAAGACAUUGCAACUGAUGCUCGUAAGCAAGAGAAGUUUCGUGAUGGACUUCACCCUGAUAUUAAGCUAGCAUUGCUCGUUCAUGACUUUGCCGACUUCGCCACCUUGGUGAACAAGGCUAUACAGGUUGAGACUGGUCUUCAGGAACAUCAGGGAUCCCUCAGGCGUAGCCGUGACGCUGGCCCAUCUUCGGGCCCGUCAGCGCAGAAGCGUCGUAUAUGGAUUCCCCACAGCAUGUAUCGUCCAACUGCACCUACCCCAAGACAGUCCUAUGCUGCACCUCGUCUGCCUCCUCCACCAGAGAGGCAGCCUCUUCGAGAUGUACCAUCCCAAGCUCCUGCUCCCGAUCCCAAUGAUGGUCUAUGCUUCAGAUGUGGCCGCCCCGGCCACCUUGCUAAAGAGUGCACUCAGAAAAAGAGCCAGCUGGCUCUACCUUCAACUGGCCGUAACAAUCAGCCCCAUAACAACAAUGCCAGACCUUAUGGUCAUGGUCAGGCUAAUCAUAUUGAUCUGAAUGAAGCUCAAGGCCAGCCUGCCACUGUGAUGGGUACUCUCCUUGUUAAUUCAGUACCAGCUUCUGUUUUGUUUGAUUCAGGAGCAUCACAUUCAUUCAUGUCAGAAAAUUUUGCUUACGCACAUGACAUUCGAUGCGAGCCCAUGAACACUCCGAUAGUGGUACGCACCCCUGCGGGUCAGUGUCGAACUACCAUGAUUGGUCGCGACGUUCCUGUUGAAAUUGAAGGGUUGGAAUUCCUUGUUUCUCCCAUUAUUCUGGAGUCUUCCAAUAUUGUCCUCAUUCUGGGAAUGGAAUGGUUGAAAGCGCAUACUGCCUCUAUCGUUUGCGCUACCAAGGUCGUUCACCUCCUACAUCCUUCAGAUGAGAUUGUAACCUACCAUGCUCAGCUUGUUCAAAACGCUGAAGCACGACUUUAUGCUUUGAAUGCGUUGAACGCGGCACCUCUUGAGGGAAUUGAAAAGAUUCCAGUCGUUCGCAACUUCCAAGACGUAUUUCCAGAAGAACUUCCAGGAAUACCCCCUGCCCGGGCUGUCGAGUUCGUCAUCGACUUGAAACCA